UAGGGAAUCUUCGGCAAUGGACGAAAGUCUGACCGAGCAACGCCGCGUGAGUGAAGAAGGUUUUCGGACCGUAAAACUCUGUUGGUAGAGAAGAACGUUGGUGAGAGUGGAAAGCUCAUCAAGUGACGGUAACUACCCAGAAAGGGACGGCUAACUACGUGCCAG
rnacentral:rRNA from 1 species